UUAACUGUCUCAACCAAAACAAUACCACUGCAUAUCUAAAAGUAUAGAACAGAAUAAAUCGCAUUAAAUUCGAAUGAACCAAAUUCUAUACAUAUUUAUCAUUGGCGACGGAAAAUUUCCAUCGCUAAAUUUGUCCUAAAUGAAAGAAAUUUUCGUUCAAAAUCCGAGCCCUAAUUCCCUUCCCGCUCAAAUCUCUCUAAAAUCCCAAUUUCGUAUCAAUACUCUCUCUCUCUCUACAAACCCUCAUCUCUCUGAACUCCCACCUUGCUCGCAUCCACGGUCACACCCUAAUGUUGUUGUUCCUCUUCUCCAUGUGUUCUUCCUCUUCUUCCAAAUUUCUCUUGCUGGUGAAAAUUUCUGUUGCUACGUUAGCUUCCCCAAUGACUUGAUUGAAACUUACCCUCUUGCGCCAAAAAUUUUGGUUUUCCGGCGAUAUACUCCCGCAUAUUGAUCGAUAACACCCUCUUCCUCCAUCGUAGGCCCUAAUUCCGUUUCUGCAACAUUGAGGCUCAUACGACUGGGGAAACGAAAUGGUUUAGAUGAUGGUUUAGCUACAUCAGCCUCUAAUUAGUAGUGGCUCCAGAGAAACGAAAUGGUUUAGAUGAUGCUUUAGACCGACUGGGAACUCCAUUAGUGAGAAAAAUUCCUCUGCGCAAUCUUCGAAUCAGCACCUUGAACGAGAGGGUUUUGGUUAUCACAAAACCAUAAGUUAUUUUUCCCUCUCUCCCAUCAUCUCCCUGGGUAUCUAGGUCUAGAACUAUCUCUUGGUCCUCUGGUCCCCAAUAGCUGAAACCCCAAAUACUAGUGCAUUAUUUUCCUCUCUCACUUCAAUUUCUUCUGGUUUUUGGUUAUUUGCUUCAUAACUUACAAUUAAAUCAUCACACAAGAGGAAUCCGUGGUGAAGGUGGAAGGAAUUUCAUCACUGCUCACUCAGAAGAUUGGGGUUUCACACCAGCAGAGAACGGAUAGCAAGGAGCUCUUAUAGAUCUCUUGAGGCCGUCUUCAGAUGGGCAGACAUCAAUCUCAUUGGAGUCGAGGAACCCAAGCAUAUUCCUAGAGGGGAAUUUAGAGGUAUUCCCACCCCUUCUUUUUUCAAACAACCUAUUGAAUCACAGUGGAUUUUGUAGUUCGAGCUUGAGAGGGUUUUUUUUUUGCUUUCAAGUUGUCAUUUGAUUUUCAUUUCUUUAAUGUGGUGAUGAAAGCGUUCAUAUCAAUCAAUAUAUAAAAUGAAGAUGAUAUAUAAGUUAUUAAUAAUUUUAAUUUGGAUGACCAUAUGCAUGCAUAAUAUGUUGUAUGACAGGGAUGCUUAUUAAAUUAAUUCUUUAUGGUUCAUUGAUCGACAGGUAUGCAUGGUAGGAUGUUAGAAAGCCUCAAUCAAGGAGCUUAUUUGAACUCUAGAAUUUACUAUUUAGUAAAAAUUAUAGUUUCAUGGAUUGGCUACUAAAUAUUGAACUUUCUUGAUUCUAUUCAUUUUCCCCAUCUUUUUGUGUUUGUAGGAGUUCUUUCCUUUAUAUAAAUACAAAAGGGUUAAUUUCCAUAUCAA